ensembl:snoRNA
AUCCUUUUGUAGUUCAUGAGGAUGAUUGAGUGUUCACACUCAUGUGUGAGAUGUGCCACCCUCAGACCUUGAAAUCUGCAGUCACUCUUGGUAAGUGAAC